rnacentral:misc_RNA from 1 species
GAUGAAGAACGCAGCGAAAUGCGAUACGUAGUGUGAAUUGCAGAAUUCAGUGAAUCAUCGAAUCUUUGAACGCACAUUGCACCUCUCGGUAUUCCUGGAGGUAUGCCUGUUCGAGCGUCAUUUGUACCCUCAAGCUCUGCUUGGUGUUGGGUGUUUGUUCCGCCUCUGUGUGUGAACUCGCCUCAAAACAAUUGGCAGCCGGCGUACUUGUUUCGGAGCGCAGCACAUUUUGCGAUCCAGAUCAACGUACAGCGGCAUCCAAGAAGCCUUAUUUAACGCUCUUGACCUCGGAUCAGGUAGGGAUACCCGCUGAACUUAAGCAUAUCAAUAAGCGGAGGA